UACAUGACUCUCGGCAACGGAUAUCUAGGCCCUCGCAUCGAUGAAGAACGCAGCGAAAUGCGAUACUUGGUGUGAAUUGCAGAAUCCCGUGAACCAUCGAGUCUUUGAACGCAAGUUGCGCCAGAAGUCGUUAGACGAAGGCAUGCCUGCCUGGGCGUCA
rnacentral:rRNA from 1 species